AUGGCUGCAGCGAUUUUGAUUUAAUUUGGAAUGGAAUUAGCUGACACGCUGAAUUAGUACAUAGGUUACAUUUUUCUGCGAGAAAAUAUCUUAUUUCUAUGUGAAAAUCGAUGAAAAUGAAGAAAACGACUCCUACAUUGUUUUGGCUAUUUGUUUACGAGACACAAAAAGAAAAGAAUUGAACGGGUGUUGGCACAAACCAUUCAGAGAGAGUCGUGAAGUCGCCGAGUUCAGCACCCACCACUGUUAAUGACGAUAACAUCGAAAAAGUAAAAGAAACUUGAAAAUCUUCGUGUUAGCAUCAUAAAGAUAGCAGAGAAUUUCAACAUCCCUUAGAGAUAGAUUCAUUAAAUUUUUGUAAUAUUUUGAAUAUGAACCGUUUUAAUGCUAAACUCUUACCACAAGACUUCAAUCUUUUAAAAAAGCGUCGCCGAUUAGAGGUAGCAAAUAGCUAAUUAUCAUCUGAUGACAAGACGUUGAUUUAUUUAGCGAAUAGUGCUCCAAAAAUAAGCCGAAACCGGAAGAAAAAAAUUACUGAAGGCCAGCCAAGGAAUAAAACCAUUAUAUAGAAAAUUGGAUUAAACGUUGUCAUGCUUGUUUUGCCUCUGAUGAAAAUGAAGUUUUUUUUUGCUAGUCCGGAUAAAAUUUGUAUAUAUGUUAUAAAGAUAACCGAAAGUUCAAUCUAUGGUAUCUAUAUAUUAAGUGUAUAGGCUUUCCUUUAUUUUUAUACUCUCGCAACAAAGUUGCUAAAGAGAGUAUUAUAGUUUUGUUCACAUAACGGUUGUUUGUAAGUCCUAAAACUAAAAGAGUCAGAUAUAGGGUUAUAUAUACCAAAGUGAUCAGGGUGACGAGUAGAGUUGAAAUCCGGAUGUCUGUCUGUCCGUCCGUCCGUCUGUCCGUCCGUCUGUCCGUCCGUCUGUCCGUCCGUCCGUCUGUCCGUCCGUCCGUCUGUCCGUCCGUCCGUCCGUGCAAGCUGUAACUUGAGUAAAAAUUGAGAUAUCGUGAUGAAACUUGGUACACGUAUUUCUUGGCUCCAUAGGAAGGUUAAGUUCGAAGAUGGGCAAAAUCGGCCCACUGCCACGCCCACAAAAUGGCGGAAACCGAAAACCUAUAAAGUGUCAUAACUAAGCCAUAAAUAAAGGUAUUAAAGUGAAAUUUGGCACGAAGGAUCGCAUUAGGGAGGGGCAUAUUUGGACGUAAUUUUUUUUUGGAAAGUGGGCGUGGCCCCGCCCCCUACUAAGUUUUUUGUAUAUAUCUCGGAAACUACUAUAGCUAUGUCAACCAAACUCUAUAGGGUUGUUUCUUUCAGGCAUUUCCAUAUACAGUUCAAAAAUGGAAGAAAUCGGAUAAUAACCACGCCCACCUCCCAUACAAAGGUUAUGUUGAAAGUCACUAAAAGUGCGUUAACCGACUAACAAAAAACCUUAGAAACACUAAAUUUUACCGAAGAAAUGGCAAAAGGAAGCUGCACUCAGGCUUCUUUUAAAAAUUGAAAAUUGGCGUGGCGUCGCCCACUUAUGGACCAAAAACCGUAUCUCAGGAACUACUCGACCGAUUUCAAUGAAAUUCGGUAUAUAAUACUUUUUCAACACCCUGAUGACAUGUACGAAAUAUGGAGGAAAUCGGUUCACAAACACGCUCAAUAUAACGCUAUUUUGAAUUCUAUCUGAUGCCUUCUCUGUAUAGUACAAUAUAUAUAUACAUUAGGAACCAAAAUAGAAAAAUAUGUAAAUGACGGAUAAUGAAAUCUCGAUUAUCACUUUAUCAUGCGAGAGUAUAAAAUGUUCGGUGACACCCGAACUUAGCCCUUCCUUACUUGUUCUUUCUAUACUUUCCAAUUACGAGACUUUACUUUCUUCUUCUUUAUUGGCAUAGUCACCGCAUACGCGAUUCUUUUCGGAACGUGGUGCCUAUUAGAGAUUCCAAACGAAGCCAUGUCCUUCCCCACCUGGUCUUUCCAACGGAGUGGAGGUCUUCCUCUUCCUGUGCUUCCCCCGGCGGAUUUUGCGUCGAAUACUUUUAGAGCUGGAGUGGUUUCGUCCAUACGUACGAAAUGACCUAGCCAGCGCAGCGAAAACUCGUAACGUCAACUCAUCGGAUCUUAUUAUCGUGCAUGCCUCUGCACCAUAUAGCAGGAAGGGAAUAAUGAGAGACUUAUAAAGUUUGGUUUUUGAUUCGCUGAGAGAGGUCUUUACUUCUCAAUAGCCUGUUGGCAAGAGUUAUUCUGCGUUGAAUUUCGAGGCUGACAUUGUUGUUGCUGUUAAUGCUGGUUACAAGAUAGACGAAAUUAUCCACAACUUCGAAGUUAUGACUGUCAACAGUGACGUGGGAGCCUAGUCGCGAGUUCGACGACGGUUUGGUUGAUGACAGGAGGUAUUUCAUUAUGCCCUUGUUCACUGCUAGAUCCACUUGCUUUGCCUCCUUAUCCAGUCUAGAGAAAACAGAACUAACGGCGCGAUUCCCUAUCAUGCGACUUCUUCAAUCUACUUCUGGAGAAAAUAAUUCGAUUCACACAAUACGCUCGAUAGAACUUUAUAUGCGAUGUUUAUUGAUCGGGUUCGCCUUUUCCUGGCGUUAUGCUUUCACUGCCAUUCAGCAGGCUGGAGAAGUGUUACCUCCAUAAUUGUAGUAUACUAGUAGAGUAUGCUCCGGUCUUGAAACCUUUUGUUAGUCGGCCAGCUUGUCAAGAUCUUCAUACUCACGCGUUUAGGCAGUCUGUUUUCCCUCCGCUGCGACACGGCACUCCCCAUGUAUCAGCUGUUCUUUUGCAUUUUCCGAAAACCAAUGGAUUCGGUUGCGGUUGAACGUAAGGAGUUUUAAAUGCCGUCCCACAGUUCCUUUAUUCCGAGUUGUUGACGAGUGCUCUCAGAAAGCAGGUGUGCAAGUCGAGUAGAAAAUCGUUCGGCUGUUUUUGUGUGUGCAGCUCCGUGGAGGCUGAAUUUACCGACUGAUGUGCCAAAGAUACCUUCCGUGCUCCAAGCGCUCAUAGAAGUCAUCGUUGGUCACAUCGUCCUUCUCUUCCGUUGGCAGACAGUACUUGGCGACGGAGUCUCCCUCCCACCACGAAUCCCACACCGAAUUUGCACUCCUUUAUAUGGCCACUGUAGUAAAUGCCAUAAAGACCUACUAGACUCAAUCCUUGUCCCGUUCAUCGCAUUUCUCGGACGACGGUGAUGUCAGCCUUUACUCUAGCGAUUACAUCAACCGGCUAGAAAGCGGCACCUUCCAUAUCAAGGGACCAGAAAUUCCAGAUAAAUCGAUAGUCGUCAUCAAAAAGAGGCUCUCUCAUCCGAGGCUGUCGACUAAUUUUCAUUGGUAGUGUUUUUUACGUGGCGAAUCCCAAACCCUGCGCACAGCCCUAUGGAGAGGAUGUUUCGCCUUCAAACGGAUGUUUUUGGCUAUUCAGAGGAUACUUGGUCUAAGACAUGAAGUCGUGAGCUGCUACACAUGACCCGGACUUUUCCGCAUGAUUGACCACGAUAAUUUCUGUUCGGUUAGUCUAUGCAGUGAGGUCAACAUAUCGUUAUCUGGGAAUUUGAAAAGUAAUGGUCCGAUUUCGAAGACAUGACAUGAUGGGUUACAUUUUUCAGCAAUGUUUUUGUCAUAAAAAAUUAAAUAUUUUAUUAGAAUUUUUUAUUGUUAUAAACAUACACUAUUUAUUAGCAAAGAAAUUCUGAAAUUGUUGGAGUUAAAAUCUUAACUUAGAACUUGAACGAAGGAAAAAAUACCUGAAAAGCAAAGAAAAAAUCCAACAAUCCAAGUCUUCGAGAAUUGUAUCUCAAACACCUGUGUAAAAUUUCAUGAAGAUCGGUUGAGUAGCUCUCGGGAAAUCCUGCCAACCGACUUCAGAAACAUAUUUUCGAAAAAAAAAACGCGUUUAAAGACGACGUACUUAGCUUAGCUGGCUAGAGCGAGUUAAGGAGCUUAUUUCUUAUGGUAUGAACAGAAUGUAUCAAAACAACAUUAAAGAAAAUGCACCAAAACAACCUGGAGUUUGAAUACCACUACAACCAUAUCUUAGAACAAAGGGAAUAAAGAAAUAAUAUAUGUAAUAUACAUCUGUAUCUAAACAAACUAUCAACUAGUAAUAAGUAAACGUACUAGUUAGUAUCGAUAGAAGUAAGAACCGUGUAAUUAUGUAGUUGUGCUGAACACAAAGAGAACGACAGACUUCAAUCGACAAUUGUCAAAUAUUAAAAUAUACGUAAUUCUUAAGAGUAUUAAUAAAGAGUA